rnacentral:rRNA from 1 species
UACAGAGGUGGCAAGCGUUGUCCGGAUUCAUUGGGCGUAAAGAGCUCGUAGGCGGCUUAGCAAGUCGGGUGUGAAAACUCCAGGCUCAACCUGGAGCCGCCACUCGAUACUGCUAUGGCUUGAGUCCGGUAGGGGACCACGGAAUUCCUGGUGUAGCGGUGAAAUGCGCAGAUAUCAGGAGGAACACCGGUGGCGAAGGCGGUGGUCUGGGCCGGUACUGACGCUGAGGAGCGAAAGCGUGGGGAGCAAACAGG